AACGAACGCUGGCGGCGUGCCUAACACAUGCAAGUCGAACGAGAAGGCGUAGCAAUACGCUUGUAGAGUGGCGAACGGGUGAGUAAUACGUGGGUGACCUACCCUCGAGUGGGGAAUAACCCGCCGAAAGGCGGGCUAAUGCCGCGUACGCUCCUUGGACUUCGGUUCAGGGAGGAAAGCGAUGCCGAGGGUAUCGCGCUCUUGGAUGGGCUCAUGUCCUAUCAGCUUGNGGUGAGGUAACGGCUCACCAAGGCUUCGACGGGUAGCUGGUCUGAGAGGACGAUCAGCCACACUGGCACUGCGACACGGGCCAGACUCCUACGGGAGGCAGCAGUAAGGAAUAUUGCGCAAUGGGCGAAAGCCUGACGCAGCGACGCCGCGUGGGGGAUGAA
rnacentral:rRNA from 1 species